GGAUGCGGCAGCACCCCGAUGGAUGGGCCGCGGGCAGCCGCUCGUCUCCGUGCGACAGCGCUGCGGGCGGGCGCCCUGGGGACAGGGAGGGCAGCCUUGGAAAACGCUUUUCCCAACACGCCCCCGGGAGCUGCGGGCGGCUCGGGGCUCUCGCAGCCUCGGCGGCCCGGGGGCAGCGCCAGGCCAGGAUGGAGCAGCAGCGCGCAGGCUGGUCACCUGAAUCUCAUUCAGAGCACCUGCAAACCUCUCCACCUUAACCAAAAGAUAAGAUGACUACUCUGUUGAAGAUCUACCUAGGAUUGCAGAAAGUGGAGCCUAAUGUUCUGCUAUACAGUAAGCAUACCAUAUAAUUUAGUUCCAUGAUUGUUAAUCUUAUUUUCCAUGCUGAUCCUAUGAGUGCAUGACAUUGUGUGAGACCCUCCCUGUGUAGCUCUUACCUGCUCGACUUUAUCUUGACUAAAUGCAAGCUAGUGCAGAUAACUGGUGCAUUUCUGCUUGCACAGAACCUCCUUCUGAAAAGUCCCAGACUAAUGGGAAUGUAGCAAAAUGCACCCAGAAUGUGCCAUUUUUCAAGGUCAAUGAAGAAACAUCUAACUAUCGCUUUGUUUCCCUCAGCCCAGGUGCUUACCUUCAGAGCUGUGAGCCUGGGAGGAUUGCUUGGAGCAGGAUGGAUAUGAAAAUACCCAAUACCUGAAGCAGGCAGAGCCUUGAGGGAAAUACAAAACACUUGGCAGUGCAAUAGAUAAGAUCAGAAAUGUGGUUUCCUUUUACCUGGGGUUUUGCCGAGGCAAGGAGCGUUUUUCUCCCCCAUCUUUCCACCAACUGAACAAGGCAGUGGAAAUACAGAUCUUGUCACAAGGGAAGUGGGAGGAUGCUCAACCUGGCUUUACUCCUGGGAAUUAAUGCCACUUUUCAAAAUUCUUGUAGGUUUCAGUAAGAGUGGUUGCACACCUUGUUUUAAUUUCCAUUUAAAACACCUAAAGGAAGCAACCAAGAAUAAAAGUUCUUAAAAAGAGCCCUCAUGUCCUUGCUUUAAAUAGGCAGCACAGCAGUGUGUGGGAAGAAAGCUAAUGGUAGAGGUUGUACCUCCAAGUGCAGCUUAAAAGUUGAGUUUUUUGUUUUGAUUUCAACCUUUGACUUGCGCCAUUUGUUCUACGUGACCUUUCUUGCAAUUGGAAAUUAUCAGGGCAAAAGCUGCACUCUUUCAUCUUCAGGUUGUGGGAGAGGAUGGUAAGCGUCUUGUUAAAAUGGAUUAUGCCAUCCAUGGAUUCCCCUGCUGGAAAGCCUUGCAGAUGAUGGAGUAAAUCUUGACAGGAAGAAGUGUAUAGAUGAAAAUUAAUGUAAAAAUAAGCUUGGAAUAGCAGAGGAACAUUUGCAGCUUUCUGCAUCCUAUCCAGAUGCAAUGAUUUAAUGAUAUUUAUCAUAGUGAGAGAUAUAUAUAUACACAUUACUGCAUUACACUGAUGAAUAUGCUGGCUAGAAAUUGUUUCCUCUUAAAUAAAUAUUAUAAGGAAGAUUAUUCCUCUAUCUUCUAAAUGGCCAUUACAUUUUUUAAGCAAAAAGCGGCUCUGACUCCAAUUGCAAUGGGAUGAAGAUUUUUAGUUUAAUGACUGUACUGAAGAAAGAAGUCAUCUGCAAAAUGCAUAUGAUUAAAUCUCACCCUGGAUCAAACUGGAAUGCAAUUUUUCAUAUUAAAUUUUGGGAUCAGGGGAAAAAAAAUCAACCAAACAAACCAGACUAUUUACAAAAUGUAUUGGCUUGUGGGAUGGGUUGGUUGUUGGUUUUGUUAUUGUGGGGUUAUUUUUCAUCUUGGAUUUGUGGUAUCUUUUGGUUACUUUUUUUUGCUUGGUCUUUUUUUCGGUGGGGUGGUGGUGUUUGUUUUUUUCUUUUAGGUGGAUUUUAGUUUUUUGGGGGGGGGGGGGGGUUGUUUGGUUUUUUGACUGGUUGUGAUGGAGAAUUGGGAAAAAAUUCACCUCAGCUUGGAAGAGAACCGGGAGAUUUACUUCUAUAUUGCUUUGCUUUUAUGAGUAAGAAGGAUUAAAACCCCAAUGUGAGUUCCCACACAUAUACAGACAGGAAGUAUCUGUCACCUAAAAUAUGUGGCAUAAUGGAAAUCCACCAUCUUCUCUCACUUUCUUGGUUUUGUGAGAACAGUUGUUGAUUAUCAUUUAAUUCUUUGUUCCGCAGCAGUGCAAUCAGCUGUUUCCUGAAGAGAGAGAGUUUAGACCUUUCUGCUUACAAAUAUCCAGUAGAAGUGGCUUGAAAUGAGCCCUUCAGGGGGCAACUCAGUCACAGCACAGCCUUGCCAGGGUUACUGCUGGAGUCACUGUUUGGGGUCAUCUCAUUUAAAUGACAAUGCCAAAGUUCAGGGCUUAAGAGGGGAAAAGAAACUACUGUGCUAAUUCCUCAUAUUCACAUUUUAUUCCCAUCAGAUCACCCACCAGUGAGAUAUUUCCCUCAAAGCAUCAGUAGCUGAUUUCAGUUUUUAAUAUGUAAAAUGGAGCCUGAUCCAAAAUUACAUGCAAUUAAUGAGUCCAGAGUGAAUUGCUUGAUCAAGAUAAAUGACUUUACUGCAAGCUACUUUUGCUUACAGGGAUUGCCACUAAAAUGCCACUUCAAAGUAAUAAGAAAUUAAUAACUGAUUUGAAAGUUACUAAAGCAAGUUUAUGGACUAGUGGCAUCACCUGCCAUUGCUGCAAUAAAGCUUUAAACACAUUAAAUGCUGUUUUCUUAGGCAAUACCCACUCUACACCAUUGGCACCUUUUGCUCAAAUUACAUUAAGGAUUAUUCCUUAAUUUAAAUUGCUUUGUAUGCUAGAAUUGACAUUAGAAUUUUAUUCUAGAAUUGACAUUUCAUGACGUGAAAUAAGAAGAAACAAGAAGUUAUCUUAAGUUCAGCACAUUUCUGAAUAAAAUAUGCACUUUUAUCAGCUCUCUGUGCCAGCACACAAACAUAAUUACCUUUAGAACAUAGGUUCUUAUCACUGUCUUGCAACCUUUAAAACCUGCUUGCAUACAGUUAUCACAAGUUGGUUAUCAGGAAAAAUAAUGAUCUCCUGUGUUUGGGAAGUCACUGAAGACAUCUGUAACUUGAAAAAAAAAACGAUUAUAUAAUGCUUACAAGUGAUCCUAUAGAUUAAAACAAGGGAAAUGAUACAAGCAGCCUCUGAGAUAAAGGUACAGGAUUGGUUGGGAUAGGUUUGGCUUCAAUUUUUUUCCCUCUGUAAGAAAUUUGUGUUUACACUUUAACAGGCAAGGCUAGAAACCCUGAGAGACUGAAGUGAAGGAUUUGCAAAGGAACGCCAGACUCCUUCAGGGAUCACACAUGGUUAAAAUUCAAUAUCCAGCACUGGAACAGAAAGCUUGGGAAGCCCCACUGAAGAAAGAGCAGCAGAAGUGACAGAAAAGAUUAUCAACCACCCAAAACCCUUUGCUUUUGAGUCUGGGCCUUCUGAGAAUCUAAUCCAACUCCAUUCCCUGGUUACUUGAGAUGUGAGGAGAAACAUGCAUUGAUUUUGAAGUUAGUUAUGCUUUGACUGGGCAAACAUAUUCCAAUAACCAUUCAAAUUCCUCCUCCAGCCCAAAGAAAAGUCUGUUUUGUCAGACAGAAACAACAGUUUAACCCAGCAGCAGCCCUGGGCUGGUGGGCCCUUAGCACAUCCUUUGCCAUCCCCAAACACUUCAUUUAGCACUGUAAAACACAACUAGCCCUGAGCCACUUCACUCUCCAGAGACUAUAAAAUAUAACCCCCCAACUACGAAUUUGUGUACCUUUUGCACCAGUGAUAUUAGGGAGUGCAUAAAAAUAACACUGCAUUAUCAGGUUUUAUUAUUCCUCGGGCACUGUUUGCAAUUUUGACUAGUUGCUGUCAGGUUGGCUGUUAGAAAAACAAUUAUUCCUUUAGUACAUCAAACACGAGGAGAAAGACAAAAGGAAAUUAUAUCCAGCAAGGCAUUCAACCAUUAUUUUUUGGUUGUACAUUAGUGCAAGUUGUACAGGAUGCAAUUUGGGGAGUUAAUCUUUCGCUGUGGGUUUUCACUCUGCCUUGUGAGCGUCAGGAGCUGGCUCAGUCACAGAAGCUGUGCAAAUAUUGUUUGCUCUACCUCAAGUGCCCUCUAGUGUGCAGUAAUUAAGCAGGUUAAAAUAAGUUUUUUUCUCCUUUUUUUUCCUAACAGUUACUCUCCUAAAUCCCAAAGUGAUAUGUAACGCUGAUUUUCUUCGAGAGGAAAGAGAAAUUCAAUGUUCACUGCAUUAAUUGUGUGGCUAUAAAUGAAUUAUCUCCUCCAUGCAAAAUCAAAUCAUUCCUGUUGCUGUCAGAUUUUUAUUCUCAGAGGUAUAAGUUAAAUAAAGCACAAUAAUUCUUUUGGGUGUUGUGAAAAUGUCAAAGUACAAACAGUUUUUGGUGUUAUCAGAUCUAAAACAAAACUUUUCUCUCUGAAAAAGGAAAUUACCAUAUUCAUCAACAAAAUAUGACCCUAGAACCAGAUUAACAAUAAAACCCCUCAUUAUGCUUCUAGGGUGUUUUAAAAGUACUCAUUGUCUGCAGUUUAGAAAACAGGCAAGCCUACAUGAAUAUAAACAGAAUAAUGAAUGGGGCAUACAUGUAACAAGUUCUGUGUGUUCUCACCUGUUCUGUGAUGCUGAACUUCUCCCUCAAAAUUCUGACAUCACCUGGCUGGACAAACCCAGUGGUGUCUGUCAGUGAGAGCAGGCUCUGUGCAGCAGCUCCUGACACCAAAGAACACUGACAGGAGAAGUUAGGAGAUGCUGGGAGAGAAAAGUGUGGAGAGGUAGAAUUACCAGCUGCAGCUCCAAGAAGAAAGAAUUAAAAACUCUGAGGAAGCAAGAGCUAUUUAACUUAUAAAUAAAUUUAAAUAAUAACUUUAACUUAUUUAGGUUUAUUUCUAAGGGCUCCCCUGCAUUUAAAAAGCAGACUUGAGUUUCCCACAUAACUUUCUCCACUGCACAAAUGAGUUCAUUUUGGGGAAAACCAUUGAAGAUUUUUUUCCCCAUUCCUUAUUUCACUGUGCCCUGACCUCAAGACCAAGUAUUCACUUUCAGGCAGGAUUUACCAUAAAAUUCCAAGAUAAUAGCAAGCCUAAGCAUACUCAAAACAAAACAGAUUUUUAAUGGACUUCUGAAAGCUGAGGUAAGAGGGAUGGGUGGAUCCCAGGAGAGAUUAAAUGGUUGCCUAUAAUAGGGAUAUGCUACACAGGGUGAGAGAAUUGAAUCUUUUAUGAGUUGUAAAAUCAGUACGACUUCCUAUAAGUGGAAAGAGUCAUCAUCACAACCCCUGAGCUGGGCUGUGGUGGCAGAGUUGUGGUUUCCAAGUGAGGUGCUGAGAGAAGCCCACAGCAUUGUUUCCCGUUUGCCAGCUUGGCUCUGCUGAAGGUUAAUUUCUGCACCUUGACUGUUGCAUUCUGCAGAGAACACACAGUUCUGGUACAGUUUAGCAUCCAUGGGAGGCAGACAGGACAGAGCAGAGCACCACACUUUGCCAAUACAAGGUUUUCUAACACAAAAUGCCCUGUUUUUACAGCCACACUGCACCCAGGCACCGUGCUGCCAGCAACACAACAACAAGAGUUAUUCCAGAAACAAAGCUGGAUUAGAUGCUCUCAUAACUGAAAGCUAAAGUACAGCAGGGUUAGACAGGUCUUGGCAGGGAUCUGGGCAAAUAAAGUGCCUUCAUUUCCAUCAGAUUUGAGUCAGCUUCCCCAGGUGUGUUCAGCCCUCAUCACUGCAGGGAUGAGAGUGAACAGCAGCAGCAAAUACACCUGGGGAGCAGCAGGGAGGGGAAAAGCCACUCAGUGGUUGGCUGUAAAAUGGUUACCUUAAAAAUGGACAGCAUUCUGCCACCCCUGUCCCAAAGACAAUAAAUCCCUUCAGUUUAGCCCAGCUCUCCAUGAAGUGCCUUCUCUCUCUGGAGGAGAGCAGCAGAUCUUGGGUCCCUGAGAGGUGACAAUUACAGCAGGCAAGGCAUCCAAAGGUAGCUGUGGUUACUAACACAAGGGAAAGCAGCUCAAGCACAAACACAAAAGUAGCACAAGCCCACAAGGCCACCUGAAGAAACUCACCAAAAGGUACUUUUGCACACCUCAUAACCCAAAUCCAACAGCAGCACAAGCUGAAAUUUGGCUGCCAGCUCAAAUGGUGUUUUUCCAUUCUGAAUGCAGUGACAGAUUAGGAGUAGAUGCUUAUUUCAAAGUACUUUUCUCCAGAGAGUUCUGCUUUGGUUUUUUAUUUAAUUAAGAAGGUAAGUCAACAUAUUGCCCAUAAAGUGAUUUUUUCGGCAGCUGCUGACAUUGUAGUUUGGCAGGCUGAUCUUAAAAAAAAUCGUAAUGCUGUGGUAAAAUAAAGCAUCCAUUUCCCCUAAAAAUAUUUCUGGUGCAUAUGGAAGAAAUACUGCUAAUAAAAGAGAAUAUCAAUCAUUUCAAUGCACAGGACUCCAUGCUGAAGGACCUUCCUUCUUAAUCAGUAACGUGAUUCUCCCUCUAUAUGCUCUGCUAAACAGGCAGAGCAUAUAGAAGGAUAAUCAUGUUACUCAAAACAACUGGUUUUACUGCCAGUAAUUUAAUGAAUCAAGUAAAUAUCUCCUGAAAUAUAUUCUAAAUUUAUUUACCAAUGCUGACAGGUGGCUUUUAUUGUCAAAUGCAGUAAAAUCAAGUGAAUAAGUGCCUGAGACUGAGAUGAUGCAAAUAAUGUCCCCCAGAGGAGACAACAUGGGAAUGAUGUGACUGAUCCACAGCUUGGUGACCCUCAGCUUCUUUGCAAGACUUAAAAGUGAAGAGAGAGUGGUAAAAGCCAUGCAAUACAGAGAAAGUGAGAAAGGAGACAUGGUGACAAGGUCAGCUCUCAGGAGAGAACAAGAGAACUUCUAGAAGCCUCAGGUCCCUGCUUGAAUGGGUUGGAAAUGAUCAGAUAUUAUCCCAUCUUGGUUCUGGAUGUUCUUUAUUGCUGUUCAUCCUCAGAGGCAGUGGAUGAGAAUCCCCACCAGCAAGAGCAGGGACAGCAGAAUCACUCUCCUUGAGCACAAUCUCUGCUGCAAGCCCCCCUCCCUGACACUUCUUCUAUUAUAAAACACUCAGAAGCAGGGAUCCUGGUAAUUGUCUGACUAAUAUCUUCAUUAUCAGGGAGCGUUAUCUUUCGCAUACAACAAAUGGAGAUGGUGCUGACAUCAACACUGAAAAUAAGGACUAGAGAAGGGGAACUACUGAUCAAAGAGAAAAUAAACUACAAAGGUUAACUUAUGGCAUAUCCUUUUCUU